rnacentral:rRNA from 1 species
GGUAACAGGUCUUCGGAUGCUGACGAGUGGCGAACGGGUGCCCUCUUACAUCGGAACGUGCCCAGUAAUGGGGGAUAGCUCGGCGAAAGCCGGAUUAAUACCGCAUACGCCCUGAGGGGGAAAGUGGGGGACCGCAAGGCCUCACGUUAUUGGAGCGGCCGAUGGCUGAUUAGCUAGUUGGUAGGGUAAAGGCCUACCAAGGCGACGAUCAGUAGCUGGUCUGAGAGGACGAUCAGCCACACUGGGACUGAGACACGGCCCAGACUCCUACGGGAGGCAGCAGUGGGGAAUUUUGGACAAUGGGGGAAACCCUGAUCCAGCAAUGCCGCGUGUGCGAAGAAGGCCUUCGGGUUGUAAAGCACUUUUGUCAGGGAAGAAAUCCUUUGGGCUAGUACCCUAGGGGGAUGACGGUACCUGAAGAAUAAGCACCGGCUAACUACGUGCCAGCAGCCGCGGUAAUACGUAGGGUGCAAGCGUUAAUCGGAAUUACUGGGCGUAAAGCGUGCGCAGGCGGUUGUGUAAGACAGGUGUGAAAUCCCCGGGCUUAACCUGGGAAUUGCAUUUGUGACUGCACGACUAGAGUGUGUCAGAGGGGGGUGGAAUUCCACGUGUAGCAGUGAAAUGCGUAGAUAUGUGGAGGAACACCAAUGGCGAAGGCAGCCCCCUGGGAUAACACUGACGCUCAUGCACGAAAGCGUGGGGAGCAAACAGGAUUAAAAACCCUGGUAGUCCCCCCCCCUAACCAAGGCCAACUAGUUUGUUGGGGAAUUACCUCCUUGGGUACCCUACCUAACGC